AGAGAAUAGAUACCCUGGUAGUCCCAGCCGUAAACGAUGCUCGCUAGGUGUCAGGCAUGGCGCGACCGUGUCUGGUGCCGCAGGGAAGCCGUGAAGCGAGCCACCUGGGAAGUACGGCCGCAAGGCUGAAACUUAAAGGAAUUGGCGGGGAGCACAACAACGGGUGGAGCCUGCGGUUUAAUUGGACUCAACGCCGGACAACUCACCGGGGGCGACAGCAAUAUGUAGGCCAAGCUGAAGACUUUGCCUGAAUCGCUGAGAGGAGGUGCAUGGCCGUCGCCAGUUCGUACUGUGAAGCAUCCUGUUAAGUCAGGCAACGAGCGAGACCCGUGCCCACUGUUACCAGCAUGUCCUCCGGGACGAUGGGUACUCUGUGGGGACCGCCGAUGUUAAACUCGGAGGAAGGUGCGGGCCACGGUAGGUCAGUAUGCCCCGGAAUCUCCCGGGCUACACGCGGGCUACAAUGGAUGGGACAAUGGGUCCU
rnacentral:rRNA from 1 species